ensembl:lncRNA
CCACACCUAUGGCAUAUGGAAGUUACCAGCCUAGGGGCUGAAUCAGAGCCACAGCUUCUGGCCUACUCCACAGCCACAACAAUGCAAGAUCCGAGCCACAUCUGUGAUCUACACCACAGCUCAUGGCAACACCGGAUCCAUAACCCACUGAGGAAGUUAAGAACCCACAUCCUCAUGUAUCCUAGUCAGGUUCCUUAUCUGCUGAGCCAUGAUGGGAACUCCCUAAACAUCAUUAUUUUAACACAGUCUCACUAAUUACUAUUUUUCUUAUCGACAUGUUUCUUUUCUAACUAACCCUUUACUUUUAAAAUGGCAUUCUUUUGCAUGUGUAAACAUUCUUUUUCCAUUUUGUGUGAAGUACUGGUGCAUUUAAAAUUCCUUUCUCUCUGGCUUUCAAUAUUUGGCAUUUCAUCAGUGACCACUUGAAUUUUCAUAUUUUUCAUGGACUCCUUCAAACAGUUAAACUUUGGUCAGUUUAAGAAUAAUUUAUGAGCUCUGUACCGGGAUAAGUUAUCUACUUUCACUGUCAUUCAAUGAAAUAAUUAUGUGUCAGUAACAUUUUUUGCACAGGAUCUUUGUGUAGCCUGGUAAAUUCAUUUUUGAUGACUGUAUUGGGAAAGCAUUUAUUCUCUAGGUCAAUAGAAAGGUAUCCAAUGCCACUGACCUUGCAAUAUUUCUAUUUCCUGAAAUACAGCAGUAAAAUGUGAAGGAAUUUAGAAUUAUGAAUAUUUUAUGCCAACACAAAUAUAAGAAAAAGAAAACUGAGAAGCCAUUCUGUUACCUCUAGAGAUCUAUGUGCAAAACCACAGAGGUGAGGCUGGCAUGACUGGCUAGGGAGAAAAAUGAGAUGCAGAGGAAUGUGAUCAGGCUACUAGGCAAGGCAUCAUGCUAAGAACAGAUACUCUGCGAGAAAGGCAUUUGACUUAUUGUCUAAGGAAUCACCCUCAUCUGGGCUUUACUUAGCCAUAUGCUAUUCAUUUGAUUUAAAGCUCAGGAAGGUUGAAUACCUUUUAUUUUUGCAUCAGUGAUGUCAUAUGUACACAUUCAUUUCCUAAAUAAUGUGGUGCAAAACAAAAUCAAAGUAUCACUGAGGCAUAGACAUGAUAUUACCAGGAAAACAGUCAUAGAACUGCUGCUAAUGGAUACUCACCUCAAAACCCUGGAACAGUGUUUAAUGGUCUCAAUACCUAAACUCAAAUCUUCCUUGGUCUUCAUCAGCAAAAGAAUACUCGUUAGAUAUCUUUAGGUAAGCGCAUCAAGCUCAGUGUCACUGACCCAAUGGUCUUUUACUUAAUCAUAUAUUUAUCUUAAACUUUUUUCUAGGAGGUCAAGAUUGGUUAUAUCAUUGAGGAGUGAGUGACCACACAAAAAUGAAUGGAAAAGGAGACUAAGUAGAACCUUCCUGCCUAGGUAGACAGGAUUUUAAAAGCAAGAAAAAUUCUAAAAUGUGUAUUAUAAGAGCUUCUCUAGGAUCCUCUGCACCCACCCAAUGACUUAUUCUUUUCUUGCCUGGUAGUACCUAUUUAAUUAUCUGAGUCAUUCUGCCCUCUCUUUCCUAUCUUCUAACUUAGUGUUCCUCUAAGACACCGAACAUGGCUGUUUGAAAAUCUGUGGGGGAAGAAGAAGGAGUGACUCUCUGCCUUACAAAGGCAGAAAAUGUUCUAAUGUUUGCCCAGUUUGUUAGUUAAGACUCAGAGUGAAACUCUCUUCCAUUUCGAAAAAUGCCUCCAGGCUUUUAAGAACCACAGACAGCACAUGCCUCCAUGGCCAGCUCUUUAGGGUGUUCCCAGGAAUGGUAUGAACCCCCCACGGGAAUAUGUGUUCCCGUAAGAAGCUGCUCAGCAUCCCUUCCUUUAGCACAUGCAGACUUCCAGCAAAGUUGAAAGUUAAUGAUUUUCUGAGUUCAAGCCCACACCCUUGCUACUCUGACUUUAUUUAUUUUCUCUGUGCUGCCCUAAAAUCUUUUUUUCCCUGAAUUUUUACUUCGUUUUUCUGAGAUUUACAGUAGAAGUAACUGCUCCUACUAAAGUCAAUCCACCCUCUAUUGGCAAAAAAUUGGCCAGUGGUGAGACAACAUAACAGAACUGAAACUUGAAACUAUGGACAGACUCACUUUUCUGGAGAUGAGUCUGUCUAUUUGGGGUGACAGUGUGUUGUCAGUAUCCUGUAACUGGUAAAUCUCUUUCCUUCCCGGUAUUUUCUCUCUCAGUCUCAGGGGGGAGGGAAGAGCAACUUGAACACAUGUAUAGGCAUGUAUGUUCUGGUGAAAAAUGGUCAAAACAGAGAGCUAGUAAAGAAGGGGUCUGAUCUGAUACUUUCCCAAGACCAUUCCUAACACCGGGGAUUCACAAGUGCUGUGCCAGCUCCGGUGCUGAGAAAUUCCUGCUAGAAAAUAUGAGAAGGUUCAGAGUGCCUCCUUUUGCUGGUUGAUCAGUGAAGACAUCUUCCCCAGAAGGUGGCCCAUUCUUGCUACCCACUCCUCUCCCAUGACCCUAUUCUGUCUCAACAAUUUCCUUCACACACUCAGGCAUUUGACAAUGGUGUCAUCAUUGUCCCUAAGAUCUUAGCAGAGCUUGGCUCCUUGGAAUCUCUCAUCUCAGCCCAAUUCCCAUCCCCAUAGUCAAGUUUUCCUCGACCACUCAGCUCAAGCUGCAUCCCCCACUCCUGCCUG